rnacentral:rRNA from 1 species
CAGUCGCCGCGGGAAUACGUAGGGUGCAAGCGUUAAUCGGAAUUACUGGGCGUAAAGCGUGCGCAGGCGGUUAUAUAAGACAGAUGUGAAAUCCCCGGGCUCAACCUGGGAACUGCAUUUGUGACUGUAUAGCUAGAGUACGGCAGAGGGGGAUGGAAUUACGCGUGUAGCAGUGAAAUGCGUAGAUAUGCGGAGGAACACCGAUGGCGAAGGCAAUCCCCUGGGCCUGUACUGACGCUCAUGCACGAAAGCGUGGGGAGCAAACAGGAUUAGAUACCCCAGUAGUCCCUGUCUCUUAUAC